rnacentral:rRNA from 1 species
UACGUAGGGCGCAAGCGUUAUCCGGAAUUAUUGGGCGUAAAGAGCUCGUAGGCGGUUUGUCGCGUCUGCUGUGAAAACCCGAGGCUCAACCUCGGGCCUGCAGUGGGUACGGGCAGACUAGAGUGCGGUAGGGGAGAUUGGAAUUCCUGGUGUAGCGGUGGAAUGCGCAGAUAUCAGGAGGAACACCAAUGGCGAAGGCAGAUCUCUGGGCCGUAACUGACGCUGAGGAGCGAAAGCGUGGGAGCGAACAGG